GGUUGGAGAGAUGGCUCAGUGGUUAAGCGCACGGACUGCUCUUCUGGAGGUCCUGAGUUCAAAUCCCAGCAACCA
rnacentral:tRNA from 1 species